GUUUUCCAUAAUUAGUUGGGGGGAAAAACACAACUUUUCAAUCUCCAGAUUUGUUGAUUCUAGCUAACUGUAUUUCAACUGAUUUUUUAGUGCCAUUCUCAUGGAGAUUCACCUCAAGAAUCUCUUUACAAGGUUCCAAGACCAGUUUGGAUCUGGACCCGGGCUCGGCCCAAGCUCAGGGACUUGCCUUCUCAGCGUCGAAGGCAUUUCCCCGGCCUUCAUCAGAUCCGUCUUCAGUGCCUCUGCUGCCCUCUACCGAACUGAUCCAUGGAAAAGACUCCGGCCAUCUCAUCUCUUCGCCAUUAGAAUAGGUAAAGACUCCGACUGGUCAUUGAAGAAACAAUUAUACCCCAUAGCUCAAUUCGUCGGUGGAGAAGGCGGUGAUCUUGGUAUACAUAUGUUCAAGUCUGAACUUGAUGCUCAGAAGACAACUGGAUUAAGAGAAACCAAUAGAGUACCCAAUGUGGAGAUACUAAGAGUAGUAUUCACGCCACAAUCUCUUAUCUUUCCUUCGAAUAAGAGAAUGAUUCGCUCUCUAUCGUUGGAAUCCUCUGCCGUAGAUCAAUACCCGAUUGUUGAUGUUGCUCGAUUCAGCUCUGGUGGAGAAUUGAGAUUUAGAAACCCUACGUCUGAGGAGGUUCGAUAUGUUUAUGCAUUUCUAAAGGCAAUAGCUCUUGUUCAUCCAUUGCUUCAAGUGGGUAAUAAUGGUUUGCAGAGAAGAGGAAGAUUGGUUAGUUUUGAGCCUUUUAUUGAAACCGUUGAUGUGCAAUGGCCGUUUGAGGUUUCUAAGGCUGGAGAGCUUGUUGCGGUUACAAUUUCACAUCCACCCGGUGAGGUUUAUGAAGAGAAGAAGCGAGCGAGGACUCCAAGCCCAAGCAAAUACAUGGAGCCACCAACAGAAGAACUUUCGUUAAUGGAUAUAAGAUCUAAUAUUUGGACAAUUUUGAGGAAGUGUUCUAUGUGUGAAAAGGAGGUUAACAAUGAUCAAUCUUUAUGUUGUGGACAUUGUCGUGCUGUGAUUUACUGUGGUUCUAUUUGCCAGAGGCAACAUUGGAAGGAAGAACAUAAGAGUGUUUGUGGCCUUUACAAAGCCAUGAUGGAGAGAGAGGAAGAACUCACUAUGUCAAUAUUUAACUUCCCUUGCUUCCUCGAGCAUUUCUGCCAAUGGCUUGAAUCCGUCGGCCUUCAUCAAAAGGGUAUGUGGAGGAGGAAGUGCAGUUGCUAUUCUCAAUACCCUUUCGGCCUUCUCCCUCAAAAUUCCAGGGUUUCAGACUCAUGGGGAGGUUUAAAAGAUGGAGAGUAUCCACCUGAUGCUCCAUUUCUCAACUAUCAUGAUCGAAUAUCUAAUCCUAUACUGCUCUCAGGUUGGUCUGAGUACUAUAAUAUUCGAUCCCUUCAAUUCUCAAGCCCGGUUGCAGUUCUAUUAUCUUACCCCUUGACAAUUUAUCACAUACUAACUUCACUUAUAAGUUCAAAGAACCGUCUAGUUAAAGGCAAAGAGGUGAUUGUUCACUACAUUGGGCCCGAGGGGGAAUUAGACUUGAUGCCUGCAUUUGCUGAGAUGGGUCACCUGCUUAAUGGAUCGGGCAGCAUUCAGAUUGUCAUGAUUGGUCCAGAAGUACCCAGUAAUUUAUCCAGUACUGUCUCUGGAGUUGGAGGUCGAGUGAGGGUGAACUUGGUGAGAGGGUUAUAUCAAGAUCAAGCAUCUAACCUCUCUACUCCUCAUGUUGUGGUUGCUUUGAAUUGUGCUUUGGAGAGCUAUGGAAGCUGGGGAGGAGCUCUUGAGGUGAUUAAAUUGACAGGAGUGCCUGCGUUCUUUACUGAGCGGUCUGAGAGAUUGUGCACAAAUGGUAAGCAGGUUUUGAGAGGGGCGGGGCUGCACAUUUCGCAUCCUGUGAUGCCAAAUCCAUUCAGAUCACCAGUGCGGGACCAGGCACCUUCGAGUAAUCUUCCUUGUUAUAGCAAUGGCUUUGUUUUUGGUGUGAACACUUGAGUAGUGACUCGGUGCGCUUCCCCUUGGCUUUGAAGCAUCUAUCAAGAAAAAGUACCCAGUAACUUAUCCGGUACUGUCUCUGGCAUUAGAGGUUGAGCCUAGGCUAUUUUGCCAUGGAAGUCGGGGAGGAGCUCUGAAGGUAAUCAAAUCUACAGGAUUGCCUGCAUUCUUUACUGAUUGAUAUGAGAUAGUGUACAAAUGAUGAGCAGGUAUCGAGAGUGGCUGGGCCGCAUAUUUCGCAUCCUGUAAUGCCAAGUCCUCUUAAGAUCGCGUGAGAGUUUCAGGCUUCUUCGAGUGAUCUGCCUGGUUAUAGCAAUGGAUUUGUUUCCGGUGUCAAUACUUGAGUCGUGGUGACUCGGUGAGCUUUCUGCAGGAUUUGAAGCAUCUAUCAAGAAAGUAAGUAGAUGUUUUAUGCUGCUGGCCGUAUAUAUAGUUGUUAUUGUGCUUGUUAUUGCAUGUUGGAAUGUGCACGACUAUGUACAUUCUGGUGCAAGUAUUUUAUGAUGUCUGAGAUCUUUCUCCGUUUUCUGUUUAGUUUGAUCCUUGGCGCUUAUAACAUACAUUUUGGUUCGAAGUUUUUCAUGAUGAGAGUAAUCAAGUGUGAUGGAUAGAGCAGGCUCUGUCUGAUUUGUUC